CAAGAUCCUGAUAAACAAGAACCUUCUCAAGCUAGGAUCUAUAAGGAGUCAAGGAAGAGAAAAGUGGGAAGGACAUACCUUACCAACCAUGAAAAUAUAGCAGAAAAUAUUGCUAAAACGGAUGCUUUGGAGUCUUCCCAACAUGAAGAUGGUAGUAGCUCUAAGGACCCUUAAUCCGAAGUGAUUCCAGAACCUAAGCGUAAAAGCCGUGUACGCCUACAAGGAAAAGGUGUGAAAAAGUCAGAUUUGAAGAAAAAAGAAAAAAAGUCAGAUUUCAUAUUCCCGGCGGAAUUCUUAGAAAAUAUGCAAGCUUAAUUAGUAAAAAACUUGCACCAAGCGUAACAACUGCAAUUUUGACUCAACUUCAGGAUGCUAACCCCGGGAUCAAUCUUGUCAUUCCUGAUUUUUCGAUUCCAUCGGCUCCAAAGGAUGCGUGUAGUGCGCCAUAUCUUCUACUUGACCAAAAUAGGCAAUCUUCUAAAUCUGGGGCUACAUUUAAUCAGGUGCAUGGUGAGCAAAAUGGAGAUGAAGUAUAGUGACUAGAUGACUAGCUAGUCAUCUAACAAAUGGUGCAAAUAUUUUGGCGACUCCUAUUCUAUUAGUUCAAGUACGUUGUGAAUGAAGAUUUGAAAAAUUCGGCUUACUAUUACUCAUUUUUGUACUUGCUGUUUUAUUUUCUAAUUAUUUUUUCAAUUAAAUAAAGAGAAGGAAAGAAAUAGAUAGAAUAUAGAAUUCGAUUAUAGAGUAGGAAUUCUCUUAUCCCAUUCGGAAGGACCUCAUUUCAUAAUUAUCCAUGACUGUUUAUGUCUCUAGCACGACCACUUGAUGAAAUGUGGAGGGAAGUGGAGUAAAUGGCCGAUACUACUGGACGAAUUCCUCUUUGGAUAAUAGGUACUGUAGCUGGUAUUCUUGUGAUCGGUUUACUAGGUAUUUUCUUUUAUGGUUCAUAUUCUGGAUUAGGCUCAUCUCUGUAGUAAGUAGUAAUUUGAUUAAUCGAGGUAUAGACAUGAAAGUAUAAGAACUCAACGGGACCUUCCUUCCCCUCGAAUUAGACAAACAAAGAAGGGGGAGGUCCCAUUUAAUUCUUUUUUUAAUUAUCAUAAUUUUUUAUUCGAAUUUUUUCCUAUAAAUGAAAAACAGACCCCUUUUUCGAUGUUUUUGAAAAGUGUAUUUGGUUAUUCAGAACAUAUAUUCCUCGAUCAUACUUAUUGGUCCUUCCUAAAUUGUUAAGUUAAAAGAAAGAGAAAAAGGCAAUCAAUUGAUUUAUUGAAUGACCAAAUAGAAGCUCUAUUUUUCUAGAUUAAAUAGAAUGCAAGAAGUUCCAUUUGUUCAAGAAAUUGACCUCUCUCUUUUUUUCAGUUUGUCCGCUCCUUAUACAUGUAAUACUAAGAAAAAAA